rnacentral:rRNA from 1 species
GACGAACCGAGCGAACGUUGUUCGGAAUCACUGGGCUUAAAGAGCGCGUAGGCGGACUGCCGCGUCCGGGGUGAAAUCCCACGGCUCAACCGUGGAACGGCCCCGGAUACGGGCGGUCUGGAGGGGGGUAGGGGCACCUGGAACUGUGGGUGGAGCGGUGAAAUGCGUUGAUAUCCACAGGAACUCCGGUGGCGAAGGCGAGGUGCUGGACCCCACCUGACGCUGAGGCGCGAAAGCCAGGGGAGCGAACGGG